rnacentral:tRNA from 1 species
GCCUCGGUAGCACAGUAGGGAGCACGUCAGUCUCAUCAUCAAAUUAUUAUAUAGAGGAAUAUGAAGGUCGUGAGUUCGAUCCUCACCUGGGGCA